AAUUUUGAUAUAUUAAUAUUUUGUAUAUAUACAGUAUAUUAGUACUGGUGUUAGUAUUCACAGCCAGUAAUAAUUAAACUGUUUGGGGCAGUUGAGCUCUGGACGACUAUAAAGAAGUGAUUUUAUUUUGGGCAGAAAAGAGAGAUUGGCUGGAAAGGCAUGGGGGUGUAUGUGUUAGUAAUUUUAAAGUUGUGGGGGUCUAACUCCCACAAUGCACUGGCAAAUUCCUUUAACAUAUGGCACGUCAGGAAAGGGGUGGUUGACCUCUGGCCUCUUGAAAGUCUCUUGAGACACCCUAGUCAGGCUGCAUAAGAGAUCUACCAUCACUGCGCACUGCAAGACUGUCUGUGACUGGUAUAACAAUCACUUUCCAUCUUACCUUUCCCCCUAAAAUUCCACUCAAUGUCUUCAUGGCUUUUAAAAAGAGGGAUCUUUUUCUGCCUUUUGUAGUCCCUAUGUAGUUUUUCAACGCUUUGUUUCUCUGUACAAUACAUCAUUUCAGCACAUGUGAUCCAUUAAGGUAGAGCCAAGAGAAAGCACAGGAAACAGUCUUUCUGAAAAUGUGUUACCCUCCUUUCAACUGUUUCCAGAGUGUCCCCACUGCCCCCCACUACUUCCUCACAAUAUGAUUUAAAAAAAAAAAAAAAAAAAAAAAAAAAACAGUUUGGAUGUCAGAACAGAUGAAUGCCUUUUGGUUUUAUUUUUAAACAAAUAAUGCAUCUAAUGAUUUCAAAUUGCUCUUCGUGGGCUAUGCUAGAAUCAUUUGUGGUCCCAUCAAAUCUUCUGCCGAUUAGAUUAUUAUUCCUAGUGAUCCAAAUACUUAAGUCAUAUGAUUUUGAAUCAGGCAUUGCAUUGGUCAACCACUGUGCUUUUACUUCCAAGCCAUAAUGGGUGAAGAACAUGCAGAAUUGAAAUCCUGUUCUUGGUUCUGAGCCCAAACUAAAAAAAUGACCAAUCCUGCCUUAGCAACUGCUGUCAUCUGCCAUUUUCUCAGACAAGCAUUUUUAUACAAAUAUGCAAAGUGAAUGCUAUUUUAGUGUCAAUAGUAAUUAAAAAGUUCACAGUAACAUUGUGAAUAUGUUGUAGAAACUUUAGGAACUAUUCUGUUCACUUAACACACAUUCACAUUAGCGAAAUUUCAGCACAAUUUUCCAGAAAAAAGGUCCAUUGCACGAAAUUGGUCCAAGGUCCAAAAAUACUAAUGUGAUUGCUUGUAAUGAAGCUUCUCUCAUUACAUUUGACUGUAAACAGUUUGUCUUGAUUCUUAGAGUUUUAAAUCAUGCAACUGCAUCAUUUAAUGAUUUCUUUCAAGAAGAAUAGCAGAUAAAACUGCUUUGCAAAGCCACAAUUCAUGUUAGAAUAGUAUCUAAUAUAUUUUUUUACAGAAAUUGAUGCUUUUCAUCUCAGUAACCAACGGGGCGGAUAUAUAUAUAUAUAUAUAUAUAUAAUUUAAUGGAUUCUUGAUUUGGAUGUCUUCUCUGUCCUAUCAAUCAACUAAUCUAACAGAUGGACACUCAGCUCUUGGUGUUGUCUAGAUGACCUGAAAAUUGCAGUCAAGUAUCUGGAUUAGAGUUCCUCAGAAAAACUGACAGCAACAUUCCAAAGGUUACAAAAAUUGUAGGAGGUCUCUUUUCAUCAAAGAAGUCAUGCUACCACCACAAAUAUGAUCAAGUCAACACGACCCUCGUCACCAACAGUCACAGAUCGAAUUGCAACCCUUCCAACAGGUGCAUCUCCAAAGUGCACCCUGGGAUCUCUAAUUGAUGGCUCUCACGAUAUCAAAGGGUGGACAAAUAGUAGCUCAGGGCAGUCCUCUGAAGUUGACAGAUCCACAGGGUGGUAGAGGAAGGGUCUGAGGGUCAGGGUCAGGAGAAGGGGAUGCAUCCGAGGUCUUCAUUGUGCCAAUGAAAGGGGCCAUGUUCGAGGCCUAGUUUGUGUAGACCCUGCGGGGGAGAAGAUGCAUAGGAGGUUGGUAGCGGGGUGUGAAUGGGACAGCUGCGUUGGGGAGAAUAGGAGGUCCCUUUGUGUCCCUCCAAUAAAAAUCUGCGACCAAUUAUAUGUGUCUGUCCCUCAAAUGGAAUUCCUGGAGACUUUUUUGAAAAGCACUUGGACUGGGGGAGGUGAAGAGUUUGGCAUAAGGAAAGCACAGAUUUUCCUUUAACACCUUCCCCAUGUUCUGCCUUGAUGGAAAGUUUGUUGCGUUGGUCGAAUUCAAGUUGACUUGAAUGCACAAUGUCUGCUGUCAUGUCUAGAUACUAAUUUUUGAAACAAGCACAAUCUCUUGUUUAUGACAUGCUUUAGUGCCAAGAUUUUGUGAAAAGUCUUAAUGUUUUGGGAAUGUCAUAAUAGACCUUUUUUUACCAGAAUAAAGUUAUAGAAUUACAAGAUUAAAGUUGUAUUAUGAUGAGAAUAAACUCAAAAGUACGAUAUUAAAGUUGUAGCAUUACGAGAAUAACUCAUGAUAUGACUUUAUUUGUUAAAUCAUAGUUUAUUUUAAUUUGAAUGUGCUGUACUAAAUCAUUGUACUAAUUCUAUAUUAUGUUCUAGCUUAUGUGUUCCAUUAGGGAUAUGCAAAACUAUUUAUUUUUAAUAUCAACUACUCAACUAAUAUUGUGAACUUGCUGUCAUUUAAUUUAUAUAUUGAGUCACUGUAGUGGUGAUAGUAACUAAAGAGUUCAAAAUAACAUAUAUAUUGUAGAAACCUGCUCACUUAAUGUGAUCACUUGUGAUCGCAUUUAAAAUAAGCUGCUCUCUUGUCAACUGGCUGUAAAGAGUUUGCCUUGAUUCUGAUUUACAUUCUCUCUUAUUAUAAGGUUUAUUAUUUAUCAUCUAAAAAAUUGUCAUAGGCCCUGUUUACACCUGGUAUUAAGAUGCAUUUUGGUCGAUCAGAUCACAAGUGGACGGCACUAAAUACAGGUGUAAACGGGUCUAAAACAUUUUGAGCUUGUCCAAUUUCGAUCAUUUCUAGAGGUAGUUGAAAAUGCAUUUGACCGGAUUGCUUUCGUUGUGUAGACGCUCAUGUGGUCGAAUGUGUUCGAACAGCCACUAAAGACCGUCUACUCUCCACCUACUAACCUAACGCGUAAACAUUAUGGGAAGCAUGCUAGCCAGACAGGAUUUAAACUGUUGGCUGAAAAUCUAAGUUUGGUAUGAAGACGAAAAAUGUACCAAGCACAAUGUUCUCUCACCAUUCCUGAUUUCUAACACGCACUCACAGCGUUUGCUGUGGUCUUGCAGCUGUCAGAGCAGAAAUGAAAGCUGCUGGUUUUUCCAUCAUCUCCUUUUGCAUAUGUAAAUUGCGCAAGUUUAUUUCGUCCAUUAGAUCGAAAGAUCUGAAAAAGCCCAUACAUUUACCCACCUCAUACAUACAUAGACUCUCACCUCGAAGAAAUCAGGACAGAAGUGGUCAAAAGUGGACAAAAGAGAUGGAUUAAAACACCAGAUGUAAACGGGAAUGUGUCUAAUUCGUCUACUUGUGAGCCGAUCGACCAAAACAUAUCUUAAUAUCAGGUGUAUCAGGGCCAUAAUGACUCUAUAUUAUGUUCUAACUUAUGUAUUCCAUUAUGAAUGCCCAAUUAUAUACUAUAUUUACAAUAUAAUAUAUUUUCAAAAUCAACUAGUCAACCAAUUGGUCUUAAGGAAACCAUGUAUCAUUAAGCUGAUUUGGCCGUGAUUCUUUAAACGAGAUGCAUUCAAAAACAGCGUCCACCAGGGUUUCUAGAAUCCACAAUGCAGUUACAAAUAGUACAGACUGAUAGUGUGGUCUAGUAUGCACUGUGAAAGUGAGUGAUUGAAGAAAGUUGUUGGCUAGAACGAUGUUCACCCAUGUGCUAGACAUUAAGUGUUAAUUGCUGCUAAAUGCCCAGUGUUUAGUACAGCCUUGUUAAGUAUACUUUCCUUUUUCCAAUGAAAUUUUUCAUCUUUGACAGGUGAAAUGGGCUUCAUUGUAAUUCUUCUUGAAAUGACCUCAAAUUUGUUAUUUUUUCUUUUCCAAUUUUCAGUAAGUUGCUAUUUUUAAAAUUGCGUCGGAAUUUAUUUUAAUUUAUCCGUCAAUAUUUUCCUUUUUGUAUAUAACUUCUGGAUUAUGACAAAUAAUUUCUUAAGCCCUUAAAUGCAAAUCAAUCACCUGCCUAAUAAAGUUAUACAGCUUUAACUGCGGCAGAAGAACCUCCCUCUCAGUAAUGAUGGAUAAAUAAAGAAAAAGACCGGCACGCAUUUCUUUAAUCCCCCCUCACAUUGUGAAUCUUAUUUCCAGACUGUGAUCCAGGGCUAAUUGGAGAACUUUGGGUAAGUCCCACAUGGUUGCCAAUAGUGACGGCUCCGGUUGAUCUUCACCUGUCAAAGCAAGACUUUGACUAAAGACUUGCAGCUUGGGAGGAGGAAACCAAAACAAAAAAGGAGGGAAAGAAAAAACAACGCAUAUAAACUAGUCUCUCACUGGCAUGGCUUUUCAAAACAGAAAUGCAUGACUGACCGUCAGAGGCACCCCAGGGAGGCAGCAGGCACGGUCCGCUGCUGCUUAAAGACUUGGCUGCGGAGCCAAAGACACAUCUGGUCCGUUUGAGCCGUGCAGAUGCUACUUGGAACCAUCUCCAUUCCAAAGGAUCGUCUGAAAGAAUACGGCACAUGUAAUAAUGAGCUCUUUUUCUUCAAAUGGUCUCAUCGUCAGAGCAUUUGGACUGAGAUGAGGCAGUUUCAACAGGAAUAUAAUCUGGAACGAAUUGAGCAAAUUGUAACUCUGACGGGCAACAUGAUGAAGGUGCAACCUGAUGUCCACGGACCUGUUCCAGCGCAGACAGAAAAACUGCCCUGUGAUGCACACAAGAUCUUGCGGGUGUUGCUUGAGAGAGACACAGUUCCAUGUGGCCCUGGAGAGCCAUGAAGCUGGAAUUGCACCAUUCCUGGUCCAGUCCAGACAGAAGGGCCUGUCUGGAAUGCAAUGUGUUGGCCAUCUGCAGACGGAUGUUCAUAGCCGCUCUCCAAAGACCAAACACUCGCCUGAGAAAGUCCACAUCAGAACAUCGGAUGGUGGCAGCUGCCCAAUUUUGUCAUCUCUUUGCCGUCUCAUUCAUCUGUGAGCAUAAAAUGUGGAAACUCAUUCUUUGGUUGAUUUAUUGAUUUAGUAAUCAGUCCGAACCAUCUGCUUGCAUGAAAACUAGGUCAUGCUGAAAGCCGAGGACACAACAGCGACGGUUUUGUCAGAGAAUAAGGUUGCUUUAAGAAAUAUGCGACUUUUAUCAACACUGAGUUCAUCGGGACAUGCUCGGGUGACGGAACGAGGAUGGAAGAAGAUGAAAGACUUACGCUUUUUCUCUGAUCCUUUCGUUCGCUCUUAUUGUCUCCUCAGCGUUCUCCUGAGAUGAGGGUUAUGGACUACAGAGAGGUUGAAUUUGGCUGCAUUCCAGCCACAUCUGCUCUACUGCUGUUGCACUUCUCUCUCUUGUAUUUUUACACUUACUGCUCUCGUUUUUUGCAGCAUGUGCACACUUUUUCAGUCUUUAGCAAGACACUAAUGACACGUUGCCUGUGGAUUAGAAUUGAACCAAGGCGUUCCUUCAUUUCCUGAUUCAGUUAGGUAGAUGGCAGGAUAAAAAAGGUUCAGUAUGAGAAUACCUUAUAGAUAGGAUUAUUAAUAUAUUUAACAUUCCCUAACACUUUUAUAUCGGAACAGUUUUUUUUUUUUUUUUUUAAAUAGAUAUUUACUUUAAAAUUAUUGCUUUGUCAUAUAUUAGAGCCAGGGCCUAAUAUCUGCUCAUGUGGCUGACUAGAGUUUGAACCUGGAGAUUCCUAUUCUCCUUUUCCUGUUUACUCUAUAAUGUUGAUAUCAGUUAACCCAAUAAUGCCCAGAUUUUACCCAAAGAUGUUGGAAUUUGAAAUUAUAGGCCAAGUUCAUAGGACGUUAAACUGGAAUGACAGGAAGUUGAAUUUAUUAUGACAAAUCAGAAAUAAUUAUGUAACUAAUUUACAUUUUUUUUUUUGGACAAUCAGUUUAGAUUUAUAUUAUGUUUGUGUAUGUGUGUGUGUAUUAUUAUUUUUGUUUACAUUUUAUUUAUUAAAAAUGCAACUA